rnacentral:rRNA from 1 species
UACGAAGGGGGCUAGCGUUGCUCGGAAUCACUGGGCGUAAAGGGCGCGUAGGCGGCGUUUUAAGUCGGGGGUGAAAGCCUGUGGCUCAACCACAGAAUGGCCUUCGAUACUGGGACGCUUGAGUAUGGUAGAGGUUGGUGGAACUGCGAGUGUAGAGGUGAAAUUCGUAGAUAUUCGCAAGAACACCGGUGGCGAAGGCGGCCAACUGGACCAUUACUGACGCUGAGGCGCGAAAGCGUGGUGAGCAAACAGG